rnacentral:rRNA from 1 species
UACGUAGGGUGCAAGCGUUGUCCGGAAUUAUUGGGCGUAAAGAGCUCGUAGGCGGUCUGUCACGUCGGCUGUGAAAACCCGAGGCUCAACCUCGGGCCUGCAGUCGAUACGGGCAGACUAGAGUUCGGCAGGGGAGACUGGAAUUCCUGGUGUAGCGGUGGAAUGCGCAGAUAUCAGGAGGAACACCGGUGGCGAAGGCGGGUCUCUGGGCCGAUACUGACACUGAGGAGCGAAAGCGUGGGGAGCGAACAGG